CAGAUGCCUCCUCCUACCUCUUCACAGCUGCCAUCAGCCCAGGAAAACCUUCAACUCAGUUAAGUACCAAGACACCUGCCCAAGAUGGAGAUGAGAAACAAAAAAAGGAGCAUCGGUGUCAUGCCCUCUGAACUGGUCACAAGGAUUCAGGGCAGAGAUACAGGCUCUCUUUCCAAGCAGGGGACUUCAGAUCCUUGGAACUAAAAGUGUGGACCAUGAACCAGCAGCAUCAGCAUCAUCUGGGAGCAUGUUGGAAAUGCAGAGUGUCAGGCCCCACCAGUCCGCUGCAUCAGACUCUGAAAAAUCUCCCCAGGGAAUGAACAUUUGUGAAGCGCCUAUCUCCAUGACAUUGUGGAUCUAGGAGAGCAAGGGGUAAAAUCUGAGCAAACCUGUAAGGUAGGAGAGAAGAAUCAAUUCUAUAGGUUCACAGAGGGCUGAAGAGUCCAGAGAUGUGAGAUCUGAGAAUAAGCAGAAUCAAUACAAACAGACCAGUCUAUGAGAUUACAAUCCCAGGGACUUGGGCUUGCUGUUUGAUGCUUCCAGCUGAGUGUCUACACCUUGGGAUCGCAGGUGUUAAUUACGGCCACAAAGGGCCCGGAGACCUAACUGCGAAUCCAUCACUUUAAGAGGAAUACCUGCAUCCCUGUUAAUGGUUUCCCAAGACACACAUCCCUUCCCCCAAAGGCAGACGCUUCAUAUGGAGGACAGCAAGUCCCAUGACAUUCACUAGGAGCUGGGGGAGCUGGGCAGGAGCAAGUGAAGUGUUAGAUGGAAAGCCCCACUUUUAAAAAUGUCCUCAAUCUCAGCUGAGCAUGAUGGAAACAUGCUGUUUCCACAGUACAUAUUGUGUUGGCUUUUAUUAGAAUGUGUUGUUGCUGCCAUUAAUUUAAUUAUUUUAUGGAUUGAUUUUGCAGAGCUUGCAUCCUGAGGCUAUACAUAUUUUUUUAAAGCAGAGAACUCACUUGAGAAUGAAUGUACAUAUUGCACAUGUGGCUGAAACUCAUUUGCUCAGAAAAGAUGGGAAGCAGCUGGCUGGCUUCUUGCACAUAUACUUAAGGAGCAUGCCUAAGUCACAUGAAUGUCCUCAUUACCAAACUGAAGAACUCCAGGACCAUCUUUCUUUCUUAGUCACAUCAAUAAUGACCAUUUAUAGAGUGUGCGCCCAUCUGAAGCACCAUGCUAAGUGCUUUGCAUACAUUACAUCUUAAUUCCGUAAGACACUCAAGUUCCCACUGGGUUCUAGUCUCAGCUUCAAAUGGUCCACCAUUUACCUUCUCUAUAUCUCAAUUUACCCACCCUUAAAAAGGUGGCAACUACCUUCUCAAGCUGCAUACAAGAGUUGUCUUGAGCAGGGGUCCCCAUGCUCCAGGACAGGGACCCAUACCAGUCCAUGGCCUGUUAGGGAACCGGGCUGCACAGUACGAGGUAAGUGACAGGCUAGCGAGUAUUCCCGCCUGAGCUCCACCUCCUGUCAGAGCAGCAGCAGCAUUAGAUACUCAUAGGAGCACAAACUGUAUUGUGAACUGUGCAUGCAAGAGAUCUAGGUUGCGCGCUCCUUAUGAGAAUCUAAUCCCUAAUUAUCAGAGGUGGAAUACAUUCAUCCCAAAACCAUUUCCCCUCCCCAUGCCCCAGUCGAUGGAAAAAUUGUGUUUCACAAAACCAGUCUCUGGUGCCAAAAAGGCUGGGGACAGCUGGUCGUGAGGAUCAAACAAGAGUGCCCAGGUAGGAGCAGUCUGUGAUAUAAGGGCUUAAUAUUCCUGCGGAGCUUUUGUUUUCAUCUGGAACUUCUUCUUCAUGCACUCCAUAAAAAUUUAUGUGUAGGAACAAGAAGCAGUGCUGUUACCUGUGCUGCAAAGCAGGGGGUCUGCUUCAGAGAACUUCCUGCUGCUGCGCUGGCCGACUGCACUAAUGCACAUCCCGCUGAGCGACUGCUAUCAAUAACUACUUCUUCCUGACUUCUCCCCUACUAGUUUGCACUGAGCCAGCCCUCCCAUGUUGGGCGACUUGGGCUCUGGCUUUUCCUCCCUAAACGAAUUACACUUUCUUGCUCCUUAUUAAUCUUGUCAUACUUUAUAUUUAAUUCCAAUUCUGUCCUUCACACUAUUGCCCACACACACCCAAAUUGGAGCUGUCAGCAAGUUAUCCCUAGAGCCUUACUGGGUCACAUCACCCAAAUGCCCUCAGGUACUUCCUUUACUUACAAACAGCAAGGGAGUUUAAUUUAUUUGAACAUUGAGCGUUUGGUGAAGCCUGACUGCACUUUAAUGUAUCUAAUCAACACUUCAAAUGCUCUACGAUGAAAUCCCCGAUACCAGAUAACCAGUCUGGUGGCUUAAAUGUCAGUUUCAAUAUAAUGUUCAUUAAAUAGCAUGUCCUCUUCAUUAGACCCUAUGCCAGGUGUUUUACCUAUAUAUAGAUAUUUAAACCUUAUUUUAGCUUUGUGAGAUAAAUAUUAAUAUCCCAGUUGUAAAGUUAAGGAAACAGAGGCUCAGGAAGGCUAAAUCACUUGCCCAGAGUCGUAGAGCUACUUGGAAAAACUGAAGUUCCAAUCCAGGACUCCCAAUUCCAAGUCCAAAUGCCUUUCCACCAUGCCACAGUUCCCAUUGAGAGCAAUGUGGAAGACACAUUUGCAGAACUCUUCAGGGCAAGUGUUAUCAUUAUUACAUCCUGGAGCUUGGUAAAGUUGUCUUGAGAUGCUUCAAAAGGAAUGUCACUUGCUUGGUCUAGCUGAAUACAGAAUCUAUUUUCCUAUCACUAAUUACUUCAUAUUGGUGUAAAACACAUGAAGUCCUGACUGCAAAGCCUUAUAGUGCUCAUUGAAAAUGACUAAGUGUUAUUUUAAGUUUGGCAGGAACUAGCACAUUUUCACAGCCUGAAAGAAUUUUUUGGCCAACAGGUUUUGUUCAGAUCCACAGUUGUUAACCAUUACAGAUGCCUAAAAAAAACUAAGAUUGGGGUUGUUGAAAUAUUUAACUGAUGUCUGGGGUCAAUAGAAACUGAGAAUCUUCAGUUUCUACACUGUCACUAGUGCUCCAAAGUGAAGGAGAAGUUCAUUUUCCUUCACCUUUCAAAAAAGAUAUUUCU
rnacentral:lncRNA from 1 species